CUAGGGGAGCUACCAUGCAGUCGAGCGGAACGAGUUAUCUGACCUUCGGGGACAGAUAACGGCGUCGAGCGGCGGACGGGUGAGUAAUGCCUAGGAAUUGCCCUGAUGUGGGGGAUAACCAUUGGAAACGAUGGCUAAUACCGCAUGAUGCCUACGGGCCAAAGAGGGGGACCUUCGGGCCUCUCGCGUCAGGAUAUGCCUAGGUGGGAUUAGCUAGUUGGUGAGGUAAGGGCUCACCAAGGCGACGAUCCCUAGCUGGUCUGAGAGGAUGAUCAGCCACACUGGAACUGAUACACGGUCCAGACUCCUACGGGAGGCAGCAGUGGGGAAUAUUGCACAAUGGGCGCAAGCCUGAUGCAGCCAUGCCGCGUGUGUGAAGAAGGCCUUCGGGUUGUAAAGCACUUUCAGUCGUGAGGAAGGUAGUGUAGUUAAUAGCUGCAUUAUUUGACGUUAGCGACAGAAGAAGCACCGGCUAACUCCGUGCCAGCAGCCGCGGUAAUACGGAGGGUGCGAGCGUUAAUCGGAAUUACUGGGCGUAAAGCGCAUGCAGGUGGUUUGU
rnacentral:rRNA from 1 species